rnacentral:rRNA from 1 species
GACGAACGCUGGCGGCGUGCUUAACACAUGCAAGUCGAACGGAAAGGCCCUGCUUUUGUGGGGUGCUAGAGUGGCGAACGGGUGAGUAACACGUGAGUAACCUGCCUUUGAGUUUGGGAUAACUUCUGGAAACGGGGGCUAAUACCGGAUAGGAGCUCCUGCUGCAUGGUGGGGGCUGGAAAGUUUCGGCGGUGUGGGAAGGACUCGCGGCUGCUGAGUAUUUAGGUGGGGUAGUGGUUAACGAAGGCCUAGACGGGUAGCCGGCCUGAGAGGGUGACCGGCCACAGUGGGACUGAGAUGCGGCCCGGAGGCCUACGGGAGGCAGCAGUGGGAGAUAUUGCACAAUGGGCGGAAGCCGUAUACAGCAACGCCGCGUGGGGGAGGACGGCCUUCGGGUUAGAAACCGUGUGCGCCUGGAACGAUGCGAGAGUGACGGUAAUGUGUAAGGAAGCACCGGCUAACUACGUG